GAAGGGUGUUAUUUUUUCAGAUGUUCAGCCCACAAGACCUUACUGGUGAAGGAAUGGGACAAGACCCAUCUUUAUGCAAAGCCAGCGUUACAGUAAUGUCCCAGCAUCUCAUAAUCUAUCCUGGGGAAUUCAGCUGCCUCCCAGGGUGAAUACAGGUAUUCCUGAUGACAGUCUGCCUUCUAUCUUACAGAGCAGCUUGUUGCUAUAUACCAUUGAAAAGCCUUCAGAGCUGAGAGGUACUACUAACCAAUAACCUGCUUGGCUCAAAGGGCCAGCACCUUCUCUCUAAAGCCCAAGAGGAGUUUGAGGAAAACUAGGUGUCUGUGUUCACUCCAGGCUGAAGUUACAGGUCUGAGCAAAUAAGGUGUAUAAAAAAUGGAAUCUGUCUUGGAGGACAUCGGAAGGUGAAUUUUCCAAGUCCUUGGACAACCUAGCUGUUGAAAAGCUUUCUGGGUUUGGGGAGUAUUUCAGAUGUACCUUAAAGUGUUAGCAGACACAGAUUAAGACACUGGGAGCCAAUGAAACAGCAGUUGAGGGUUUGCUGUGUAUCACAUUUCUGUAUUUUAUCACCCCCUUCCUGCAACAUUAUUUCUCUGGAAUCUACCUGCCCUUUUGUUUUUUAGAUACAAGGGCUUGGUUUUGUUACCCAGGCUGGUUUCAAGGCCAUAGCUUUAAGAGAUCCUCUCACCACAGAUUUCCAAAGUGCUGGGAUUGCAGGUGUGAUUCAUGGCACCCAGACUUUGCUGCCUUUCUUACAUAAUCCAGGCCCAGAACCCAAACUCAGGCACUGCAUAGAUGACCAGUUUUGUAAACUACUGACCUAGCUUGUUGCCAAUUGUUGAUUGAACUUCCCAUAACUCCACUUCGUGUCUGUUCCUCUGUAUACAGCCACCUUCUGUUCCCAUCAUGAGCCUUUAGGUCUCCAUUUGCAUAUUGCAAAUACUAUGUUCCAUGUAGGUAGCUCAUGCAGGGCCUUGCUCUUCACUUCAAAAAAGGUUCCCUUGAGGACUGGCUGUCAAUUUGUGUUGCUGUGUUGGUUGUUGAUGAAAAUAAUAAAAUGAUUGAUUACAUA
rnacentral:lncRNA from 1 species